rnacentral:rRNA from 1 species
UACGGAGGGGGCUAGCGUUAUUCGGAAUUACUGGGCGUAAAGCGCACGUAGGCGGACUGGAAAGUUGGGGGUGAAAGCCCAGGGCUCAACCCUGGAACUGCCCUCAAAACUCCCAGUCUUGAGAUCGUGAGAGGUGAGUGGAAUUCCGAGUGUAGAGGUGAAGUUCGUAGAUAUUCGGAGGAACACCAGUGGCGAAGGCGGCUCACUGGCACGAUACUGACGCUGAGGUGCGAAAGCGUGGGGAGCAAACAGG